UGGGGAAUUUUGCACAAUGGGGGGAACCUUGAUGCAGCGACGCCGCGUGAGGGAUGGAGGCCUUCGGGUUGUGAACCUCUUUCGCUCGUGUGCAAGCCGCUAUUUGGGUAGUGGUGAGUGUAGCGGGUAAAGAAGCGCCGGCUAACUACGUGCCAGCAGCCGCGGUAAUACGUAGGGCGCGAGCGUUGUUCGGAUUUAUUGGGCGUAAAGGGCUUGUAGGCGGUUUGUCGCGCCUGUCGUGUAAUCCUCUGGCUUAACUGGGGGUGUGCGGUGGGUACGGGCAGGCUUGAGUGCAGUAGGGGAGAUUGGAAUUCCUGGUGUAGCGGUGGAAUGCGCAGAUAUCAGGAGGAACACCGGUGGCGAAGGCGGGUCUCUGGGCCGUUACUGACGCUGAGGAGCGAAAGCGUGGGGAGCAAACAGG
rnacentral:rRNA from 1 species